UGGCCCCUACUCCUGGCUUCACUGCAUGGGCCACAGCACUAAUUGAGAUCAAGGAAUGAUAACAAUUAAGUGAGAAUUUGCUAAAUGUGUGGUUCCCAGAGUAAGACAAAGUAUGCUAAAUUAAAUGUGGGAUCGGGAACAAUCUCUAUCCACUAUAUAUGGAUGACUUUUCCACUUUGAAGAACUACUCUGAUCAUGUGAUCAUGUGGCAUUUUCUCCCAUCCCAGAAAUGACUGGUAUAGAUGAUGUUGAACUCUUGGUUGGUGCUGAGGAUCAAACCGGGGAUUCAUGCAUGCUAAGCACACACUAUACCACUGAGUUAUGUCCCCAGCCCUUUGAACUCUGCUCCCUCUCUGUUCUCACCAUACUUGAUCAUAUUCUGAACUAUCUCAUUUUAUCCUAAGAUCUAUCUCAGAAGGAAAAUUUGCUAGAAAAGAUGGAAAAAUAAACAUGAUGGACUUUCAGAUACGUUUACAUCCAUUCUCACAAUUCUGCAAGCUGAAAGGUGUUCUUUCUGAAUCAACAGGUGACUGAUUGAGGCUCGGCCUUCCAUCCAAGGUCCUGAGCAGGUCAAACUCAAUGCUGGGUUUGGUUGACUCCAUCACAAUAUGUUACAUGUCAUCCCUCUGCCCUUUGUCUCCAGACUUAAUGUAUUUUGUUUCAUGUGAUUUUCACAUCUCUCAGCUCCUACGUAAGCCCUUUGAGAGAAAUGAGGCAAGGACUUUCAUCAUUUCCAAAUGGAAACAGAUUGAGAAUGGCUGACUUGCCCAGUGACACAGCUGGCACCAGGGGCCACGGGUGCAAAUGAGUGGACUUCUAACACAAGGGAGUGUGAGGUGGGGUGUCUCCACACCAUAUGGGAGGGUUUCCUCUGACAUCCUCUCCAUUCUGGGACUGGUCAAGCUAAAAAUCAUAGAUAAAGCUGGGCCAUGUCCUGUUGGUGGGUGAGGACAGGUG
rnacentral:lncRNA from 1 species